UACGUAGGGUGCAAGCGUUGUCCGGAAUUAUUGGGCGUAAAGAGCUCGUAGGCGGUUUGUUGCGUCGGCUGUGAAAACCCGGGGCUCAACUCCGGGCCUGCAGCCGAUACGGGCAGACUAGAGUUCGGUAGGGGAGACUGGAAUUCCUGGUGUAGCGGUGGAAAUGCGCAGAUAUCAGGAGGAACACCGGUGGCGAAGGCGGGUCUCUGGGCCGAUACUGACGCUGAGGAGCGAAAGCGUGGGGAGUGAACAGG
rnacentral:rRNA from 1 species